CCCUUAGAUGUUCUGGGCUGCACGCGUGUUACAAUCGGGAGUACAACAAGAUUGCAAAUCCUAGUGGAUGAGUGGUUCUUCGAAAUUUUCUGAAGACUGGGAUAGUUGAUUGAAAUUAUUCAGCUCAAACGAGGAAUUCCUUGUAAUUGUAAUUCAUUAUAUUGUAAUGAAUACGUCCCUGCCCUUUGUACACACCGCCCGUCGCUCCUACCGAUUGAACGAUCCGGUGAAUUAUUUGGAGUAGCUCUGGAAGUUGCAGAACUUCCUAUGUCACGAAAUUUUGUAAACCUUAUCGUUUAGAGGAAGGAAAAGUCGUAACA
rnacentral:rRNA from 1 species